rnacentral:rRNA from 1 species
CGCGGCUACCAUGCAGUCGAGCGGAUGAAGGGAGCUUGCUCCUGGAUUCAGCGGCGGACGGGUGAGUAAUGCCUAGGAAUCUGCCUGGUAGUGGGGGAUAACGUCCGGAAACGGGCGCUAAUACCGCAUACGUCCUGAGGGAGAAAGUGGGGGAUCUUCGGACCUCACGCUAUCAGAUGAGCCUAGGUCGGAUUAGCUAGUUGGUGGGGUAAAGGCCUACCAAGGCGACGAUCCGUAACUGGUCUGAGAGGAUGAUCAGUCACACUGGAACUGAGACACGGUCCAGACUCCUACGGGAGGCAGCAGUGGGGAAUAUUGGAGAAUGAGCGAAAGCCUGAUCCAGCCAUGCCGCCGUGU